CCUACGGGAGGCAGCAGUGAGGAAUAUUGGUCAAUGGGCGGAAGCCUGAACCAGCCAAGUAGCGUGCAGGAUGACGGCCCUACGGGUUGUAAACUGCUUUUAUACGGGAAUAACGCGCCUUACGUGUAGGGCUUUGCAUGUACCGUAUGAAUAAGGACCGGCUAAUUCCGUGCCAGCAGCCGCGGUAAUACGGAAGGUCCGGGCGUUAUCCGGAUUUAUUGGGUUUAAAGGGAGCGUAGGCCGCAUGUCAAGCGUGCUGUGAAAUGUCCGGGCUCAACCCGGGCCUUGCAGCGCGAACUGGCGUGCUUGAGUCAGCGGAGAGCAGGCGGAAUUCGUCGUGUAGCGGUGGAAUGCUUAGAUAUGACGAAGAACCCCGAUUGCGAAGGCAGCUUGCUGCAGCGGAACUGACGCUGAUGCUCGAAAGCGCGGGUAUCGAACAGGAUUAGAUACCCCGGUAGUC
rnacentral:rRNA from 1 species